UUAUUAAUUUUAAGUUUACUCCGUGACGUCACAUUGUUGUUCUAAUCGACGUUCAGAAGAAUCUGUUCAACACGGAGGAUAAUCACAAGCGACUGGAGCAAACUUAUGGAACAACUUGCUGAGCUGGAUGCUGAAUAUAACAGAGUGAGCCUCAACACUUCAGGUUUCACCAUAUCAGAGACCUGCAGGAUUUCACAGACAUUCAUGACAGUCUAAACGUCUGAUCUUCAUGUGAGGGCAAAUCACAAACACUAACUGCCUUUAUCACCGUUUUUUUGUUAUUAUAGUUUUUUUUUUUACAUGAUGUCAACAUUAAGGAGCUCUUCAUGCUUUCCCAGUGUACAUGUGUGAGAAUAAAUGUUCUUUAGGACAUAAAAUGUAAGAAUUAAGUGCCAUAAUAGAUCUGAAAUAAGAGUGGUAGAACUAUGACGUCAGAGCUGCGGGUUGCUUUGAGAUUUUCAUAUGUUUUUUUUUAAUGGAGUUUUUCAAUUUAUGAAUAA